UGCUAAUCUGCGAUAAGCGUCGGUGAGGUGAUAUGAACCGUUAUAACCGGCGAUUUCCGAAUGGGGAAACCCAGUGUGUUUCGACACACUAUCAUUAACUGAAUCCAUAGGUUAAUGAGGCGAACCGGGGGAACUGAAACAUCUAAGUACCCCGAGGAAAAGAAAUCAACCGAGAUUCCCCCAGUAGCGGCGAGCGAACGGGGAGGAGCCCAGAGCCUGAAUCAGUGUGUGUGUUAGUGGAAGCGUCUGGAAAGGCGCGCGAUACAGGGUGACAGCCCCGUACACAAAAAUGCACAUGCUGUGAGCUCGAUGAGUAGGGCGGGACACGUGGUAUCCUGUCUGAAUAUGGGGGGACCAUCCUCCAAGGCUAAAUACUCCUGACUGACCGAUAGUGAACCAGUACCGUGAGGGAAAGGCGAAAAGAACCCCGGCGAGGGGAGUGAAAAAGAACCUGAAACCGUGUACGUACAAGCAGUGGGAGCCUCUUAAUGGGGUGACUGCGUACCUUUUGUAUAAUGGGUCAGCGACUUAUAUUCUGUAGCAAGGUUAACCGAAUAGGGGAGCCGAAGGGAAACCGAGUCUUAACUGGGCGUUAAGUUGCAGGGUAUAGACCCGAAACCCGGUGAUCUAGCCAUGGGCAGGUUGAAGGUUGGGUAACACUAACUGGAGGACCGAACCGACUAAUGUUGAAAAAUUAGCGGAUGACUUGUGGCUGGGGGUGAAAGGCCAAUCAAACCGGGAGAUAGCUGGUUCUCCCCGAAAGCUAUUUAGGUAGCGCCUCGUGAAUUCAUCUCCGGGGGUAGAGCACUGUUUCGGCAAGGGGGUCAUCCCGACUUACCAACCCGAUGCAAACUGCGAAUACCGGAGAAUGUUAUCACGGGAGACACACGGCGGGUGCUAACGUCCGUCGUGAAGAGGGAAACAACCCAGACCGCCAGCUAAGGUCCCAAAGUCAUGGUUAAGUGGGAAACGAUGUGGGAAGGCCCAGACAGCCAGGAUGUUGGCUUAGAAGCAGCCAUCAUUUAAAGAAAGCGUAAUAGCUCACUGGUCGAGUCGGCCUGCGCGGAAGAUGUAACGGGGCUAAACCAUGCACCGAAGCUGCGGCAGCGACACUAUGUGUUGUUGGGUAGGGGAGCGUUCUGUAAGCCUGUGAAGGUGGCCUGUGAGGGUUGCUGGAGGUAUCAGAAGUGCGAAUGCUGACAUAAGUAACGAUAAAGCGGGUGAAAAGCCCGCUCGCCGGAAGACCAAGGGUUCCUGUCCAACGUUAAUCGGGGCAGGGUGAGUCGACCCCUAAGGCGAGGCCGAAAGGCGUAGUCGAUGGGAAACAGGUUAAUAUUCCUGUACUUGGUGUUACUGCGAAGGGGGGACGGAGAAGGCUAUGUUGGCCGGGCGACGGUUGUCCCGGUUUAAGCGUGUAGGCUGGUUUUCCAGGCAAAUCCGGAAAAUCAAGGCUGAGGCGUGAUGACGAGGCACUACGGUGCUGAAGUGACAAAUGCCCUGCUUCCAGGAAAAGCCUCUAAGCAUCAGGUAACAUCAAAUCGUACCCCAAACCGACACAGGUGGUCAGGUAGAGAAUACCAAGGCGCUUGAGAGAACUCGGGUGAAGGAACUAGGCAAAAUGGUGCCGUAACUUCGGGAGAAGGCACGCUGAUAUGUAGGUGAAGCGACUUGCUCGUGGAGCUGAAAUCAGUCGAAGAUACCAGCUGGCUGCAACUGUUUAUUAAAAACACAGCACUGUGCAAACACGAAAGUGGACGUAUACGGUGUGACGCCUGCCCGGUGCCGGAAGGUUAAUUGAUGGGGUUAGCGGUAACGCGAAGCUCUUGAUCGAAGCCCCGGUAAACGGCGGCCGUAACUAUAACGGUCCUAAGGUAGCGAAAUUCCUUGUCGGGUAAGUUCCGACCUGCACGAAUGGCGUAAUGAUGGCCAGGCUGUCUCCACCCGAGACUCAGUGAAAUUGAACUCGCUGUGAAGAUGCAGUGUACCCGCGGCAAGACGGAAAGACCCCGUGAACCUUUACUAUAGCUUGACACUGAACAUUGAGCCUUGAUGUGUAGGAUAGGUGGGAGGCUUUGAAGUGUGGACGCCAGUCUGCAUGGAGCCGACCUUGAAAUACCACCCUUUAAUGUUUGAUGUUCUAACGUUGGCCCGUAAUCCGGGUUGCGGACAGUGUCUGGUGGGUAGUUUGACUGGGGCGGUCUCCUCCUAAAGAGUAACGGAGGAGCACGAAGGUUGGCUAAUCCUGGUCGGACAUCAGGAGGUUAGUGCAAUGGCAUAAGCCAGCUUGACUGCGAGCGUGACGGCGCGAGCAGGUGCGAAAGCAGGUCAUAGUGAUCCGGUGGUUCUGAAUGGAAGGGCCAUCGCUCAACGGAUAAAAGGUACUCCGGGGAUAACAGGCUGAUACCGCCCAAGAGUUCAUAUCGACGGCGGUGUUUGGCACCUCGAUGUCGGCUCAUCACAUCCUGGGGCUGAAGUAGGUCCCAAGGGUAUGGCUGUUCGCCAUUUAAAGUGGUACGCGAGCUGGGUUUAGAACGUCGUGAGACAGUUCGGUCCCUAUCUGCCGUGGGCGCUGGAGAACUGAGGGGGGCUGCUCCUAGUACGAGAGGACCGGAGUGGACGCAUCACUGGUGUUCGGGUUGUCAUGCCAAUGGCACUGCCCGGUAGCUAAAUGCGGAAGAGAUAAGUGCUGAAAGCAUCUAAGCACGAAACUUGCCCCGAGAUGAGUUCUCCCUGACUCCUUGAGAGUCCUGAAGGAACGUUGAAGACGACGACGUUGAUAGGCCGGGUGUGUAAGCGCAGCGAUGCGUUGAGCUAACCGGUACUAAUGAACCGUGAGGCUUAACCUUACAACGCCGAAG
rnacentral:rRNA from 1 species